AGCGGCGGACGGGUGAGUAACACGUGGGCAACCUGCCUUGUAGAGGGGAAUAGCCUUCCGAAAGGAAGAUUAAUACCGCAUAACAUUGCAAUCUCGCAUGAGAAUGUAAUUAAAGGAGCAAUCCGCUACAAGAUGGGCCCGCGGCGCAUUAGCUAGUUGGUGAGGUAACGGCUCACCAAGGCGACGAUGCGUAGCCGACCUGAGAGGGUGAUCGGCCACAUUGGGACUGAGACACGGCCCAGACUCCUACGGGAGGCAGCAGUGGGGAAUAUUGCACAAUGGGGGAAACCCUGAUGCAGCAACGCCGCGUGAGUGAUGAAGGUUUUCGGAUCGUAAAGCUCUGUCUUCAGGGACGAUAAUGACGGUACCUGAGGAGGAAGCCACGGCUAACUACGUGCCAGCAGCCGCGGUAAUACGUAGGUGGCAAGCGUUGUCCGGAUUUACUGGGCGUAAAGGGAGCGUAGGCGGACUUUUAAGUGGGAUGUGAAAUACCCGGGCUCAACUUGGGAGCUGCAUUUCAAACUGAAAGUCUAGAGUGCAGGAGAGGAGAGUGGAAUUCCUAGUGUAGCGGUGAAAUGCGUAGAGAUUAGGAAGAACACCAGUGGCGAAGGCGACUCUCUGGACUGUAACUGA
rnacentral:rRNA from 1 species